UUAAUAUUCUUUUAAUAAAUGCCUUUUUUGUGUAGAAAUGCUUGUUUGGUUUCUGAUAGUUGUAACCUAAAAAAUCUUUAGUAAGCCAUUGGUCUGCUGUGGGGAGCGUCGAGAUGAAACUGGAACGUUGUUUGAACCUAGAUCAUAAAGUGACUCCAACAUCUUCAUACCAGGGGAGGGAAAUAGGAGCUGUAAUUGUCUCCUCUUAUCGUUCUAUCAGACUCUCUCAGCUUCUAGCAGGGAGGAGGAAGCUGUGCUGUGAAGGAUCCUUUUUCAUCAUGAUUAUUGCAUCCACAGAAGCAGUGAUAAAUUCUAACAGAUAAUGCAACUCAGUCUACUUGGAUGUUCACACCUGAGACUGGAGAAGACCUGCUGCCUUCUGCAGAGCCAAACAUUCCUCACAUGCUCCUCCACAAUGCUGGUUAAUGCAGCAAGAAUAGUCUUAUAUAGACUAUAAACUCCUGGUACACUGUGUCUACAUUGCUCACUGCAGUAUCCCAACAUCUAAGACCAUGGUCUUAGAUGUCUGGUACAGGACUGGUGCUCAGUAUGCAUUGAAUGAAUAAAUGAAUGAAUAUAGCAAAGCAUCUUACACUGGUCUACCUAAAGAAAACCUCUACAGACAAAGGAGAUGAGCCCAGCAUGGCUUGUUU
rnacentral:lncRNA from 1 species